rnacentral:rRNA from 1 species
CUAGCUGUAAACGGUGCACGUUUGCUGUAAAAGGAAUCGACCCCUUUUGUGGCGUAGCUAACGCGUUAAACGUGCCGCCUGGGGAGUACGGUCGCAAGAUUAAAACUCAAAGAAAUUGAC